rnacentral:rRNA from 1 species
GACGAACGCUGGCGGCGUGCUUAACACAUGCAAGUCGAGCGGUAAGGCCCUUUCGGGGGUACACGAGCGGCGAACGGGUGAGUAACACGUGGGUGACCUGCCCUCAGCUCUGGGAUAAGCCUGGGAAACCGGGUCUAAUACCGGAUAUGACUCCAUGACGCACGUUGUGGGGUGGAAAGCCUUGUGCGGCUGAGGAUGGGCCCGCGGCCUAUCAGCUUGUUGGUGGGGUGAUGGCCACCAAGGCGACGACGGGUAGCCGGCCUGAGAGGGCGACCGGCCACACUGGGACUGAGACACGGCCCAGACUCCUACGGGAGGCAGCAGUGGGGAAUCUUGCGCAAUGGGCGAAAGCCUGACGCAGCGACGCCGCGUGAGGGAUGACGG